rnacentral:lncRNA from 1 species
GUUUAAUCAAUAAGCUAGUCAUGCAUUAUCCCAGCAAAUAGAUGUUUCACUUCAUAUAUCCAAGAACAUAAUGAAACCUGCAAAUUUAGAAACAUAAAAAUAUUUAGUACUUAUUUGAAUGAAAAGUUUUCGUCACUUCCUUGCCAUGCUAAAUAGAAAAAACAGAAAGACUUUUGCAAACAUGAAAAGGAAACUAUUUUCUACUUUAGGAAUUUUGAAUUUGAAAAUUGAAAAAGCAACGAACUUACUAAUGAAGUUCUCCCUCGUUUGUAGUUGAUAUUAUUUUUCCACACAAUCUAUUAUUAUGCCCAAUUUGAUGACAUAUACUGUAGGUGCAACGAACCGAUCUCUUUUUUGCCAGUUGUUCAUCUAAUUCUCUUCUCCUUUUCUUUGAUUUUCUACCUCUCUUCUUCUCUUUUUCUUCAGGAGGUGCACAAUAGGGUCUGGCCAUUUGCUCUCAUCAGUGCUGGCCCAAGGGUAAGGCUGCUAAAGCAGC